CACGUAGGCACCAAGCGUUGUCCGGAUUUAUUGGGCGUAAAGAGCUCGUAGGCGGUUCAGUAAGUCGGGUGUGAAAACUCUGGGCUCAACCCAGAGACGCCACCCGAUACUGCUGUGACUUGAGUACGGUAGGGGAGUGGGGAAUUCCUGGUGUAGCGGUGAAAUGCGCAGAUAUCAGGAGGAACACCAGUGGCGAAGGCGCCACUCUGGGCCGAUACUGACGCUGAGGAGCGAAAGCGUGGGGAGCGAACAGG
rnacentral:rRNA from 1 species